rnacentral:rRNA from 1 species
UGGGGAAUAUUGGACAAUGGGCGAAAGCCUGAUCCAGCAAUGCCGCGUGAGUGAUGAAGGCCUUAGGGUUGUAAAGCUCUUUCGGCGGGGAAGAUAAUGACGGUACCCGCAGAAGAAGUCCCGGCUAACUUCGUGCCAGCAGCCGCGGUAAUACGAAGGGGGCUAGCGUUGCUCGGAAUCACUGGGCGUAAAGCGCACGUAGGCGGCUUCUUAAGUCAGGGGUGAAAUCCUGGAGCUCAACUCCAGAACUGCCCUUGAUACUGAGAGGCUCGAGUCCGGGAGAGGUGAGUGGAACUCCGAGUGUAGAGGUGAAAUUCGUAGAUAUUCGGAAGAACACCAGUGGCGAAGGCGGCUCACUGGCCCGGUACUGACGCUGAGGUGCGAAAGCGUGGGGAGCAAA